ACUCAAAUGAAUUGACGGGGGACCGCACAAGCGGUGGAGCGCGUGGUUUAAUUCGAUGUUAAGCGAAGAACCUCACCGAGGUUUGACAUGCUACUGCAAACCCUAUGAAAGUAGGGUUCCUUCGAGGGUGUAGCACAGGUGUUGCACGGCUGUCGUCAGCUCGUGUCGUGAGAUGUUGGCUUAAGUGCUAUAACGAGCGCAACCCCUGCGAUAAGUUGUAUCACUCUUAUCGGACUGCCCUGACUUCUGUCAGGGAGGAAGGCGGGGAUGAUGUCAAGUCAGCGUGACCCUUAUAUCUCGGGCUACACACGCGCUACAAUGGUAGGUAACAACGGGCUGCAAGCCAGCAAUGGUAAGCUAAUCCCUUAAACCCUAUCUCAGUUCGGAUAGUCGGCUGAAACUCGCCGGCUUGAAGUUGGAAUCGCUAGUAAACGUGGGUCAGCACACCGCGUUGAAUACGUUCUCGGUCCUUGUACACACCGCCCGU
rnacentral:rRNA from 1 species